UGAGUUCGCCAGGCAAUCGCUGAUCUUCGGAUUGGAGGAAAGUCCGGGCUCCACAGGGCGAAGUGCCGGGUAACGCCCGGGCGGCGCGAGCCGACGGAAAGUGCCACAGAAAAUAUACCGCCUGCAUGCAGGUAAGGGUGAAAUGGUGCGGUAAGAGCGCACCGCAAGGCUGGUAACAGGCUUGGCAGGGUAAACCCCACUCGGAGCAAGACCAAAUAGGGAAUCGUUACGGCGGCCCGCCGUGAUUCCGGGUAGGUUGCUAGAGGUAGCCGGUAACGGUUAUCGCAGAUGAAUGAUUGCCCUCGACAGAACCCGGCUUAUCGGCGAACUCUUUCU
rfam:Cardiobacterium hominis ATCC 15826 genomic scaffold SCAFFOLD5, whole genome shotgun sequence.